rnacentral:rRNA from 1 species
UACGUAGGGUCCGAGCGUUGUCCGGAAUUAUUGGGCGUAAAGGGCUCGUAGGCGGUCUGUCGCGUCGGGAGUGAAAACUUACAGCUUAACUGUGAGCGUGCUUUCGAUACUGGCAGACUUGAGGCAUUCAGGGGAGAACGGAAUUCCUGGUGUAGCGGUGAAAUGCGCAGAUAUCAGGAGGAACACCAGUGGCGAAGGCGGUGUUCUGGGCCAGUACUGACGCUGAGGCGCGAAAGCAUGGGGAUCAAACAGG